AGAGUUUGAUCAUGGCUCAGAUUAAACGCUGGCGGCAGGCUUAACACAUGCAAGUCGAGCGGGGAAGGGUAGCUUGCUACCUGACCUAGCGGCGGACGGGUGAGUAAUGCUUAGGAAUCUGCCUAUUAGUGGGGGACAACAUUCCGAAAGGAAUGCUAAUACCGCAUACGCCCUACGGGGGAAAGCAGGGGAUCUUCGGACCUUGCGCUAAUAGAUGAGCCUAAGUCAGAUUAGCUAGUUGGUGGGGUAAAGGCCUACCAAGGCGACGAUCUGUAGCGGGUCUGAGAGGAUGAUCCGCCACACUGGGACUGAGACACGGCCCAGACUCCUACGGGAGGCAGCAGUGGGGAAUAUUGGACAAUGGGCGCAAGCCUGAUCCAGCCAUGCCGCGUGUGUGAAGAAGGCCUUUUGGUUGUAAAGCACUUUAAGCGAGGAGGAGGCUACUUGGAUUAAUACUCUAGGAUAGUGGACGUUACUCGCAGAAUAAGCACCGGCUAACUCUGUGCCAGCAGCCGCGGUAAUACAGAGGGUGCGAGCGUUAAUCGGAUUUACUGGGCGUAAAGCGUGCGUAGGCGGCUUUUUAAGUCGGAUGUGAAAUCCCUGAGCUUAACUUAGGAAUUGCAUUCGAUACUGGGAAGCUAGAGUAUGGGAGAGGAUGGUAGAAUUCCAGGUGUAGCGGUGAAAUGCGUAGAGAUCUGGA
rnacentral:rRNA from 1 species